rnacentral:rRNA from 1 species
UACGAAGGGGGCUAGCGUUGCUCGGAAUUACUGGGCGUAAAGCGCACGUAGGCGGCUUUUUAAGUCGGGGUGAAAUCCUGGAGCUCAACUCCAGAACUGCCUUCGAUACUGGAAAGCUCGAGUCCGGGAGAGGUGAGUGGAACUGCGAGUGUAGAGGUGAAAUUCGUAGAUAUUCGCAAGAACACCAGUGGCGAAGGCGGCUCACUGGCCCGGUACUGACGCUGAGGUGCGAAAGCGUGGGGAGCAAACAGG